GAUGAACGCUGGCGGCGUGCCUAAUACAUGCAAGUCGAGCGAACGGACGAGAAGCUUGCUUCUCUGAUGUUAGCGGCGGACGGGUGAGUAACACGUGGAUAACCUACCUAUAAGACUGGGAUAACUUCGGGAAACCGUAGCUAAUACCGGAUAAUAUUUUGAACCGCAUGGUUCAAAAGUGAAAGACGGUCUUGCUGUCACUUAUAGAUGGAUCCGCGCUGCAUUAGCUAGUUGGUAAGGUAACGGCUUACCAAGGCAACGAUGCAUAGCCGACCUGAGAGGGUGAUCGGCCACACUGGAACUGAGACACGGUCCAGACUCCGACGGGAGGCAGCAGUAGGGAAUCUUCCGCAAUGGGCGAAAGCCUGACGGAGCAACGCCGCGUGAGUGAUGAAGGUCUUCUGAUCGUAAAACUCUGUUAUUAGGGAAGAACAUAUGUGUAAGUAACUGUGCACAUCUUGACGGUACCUAAUCAGAAAGCCACGGCUAACUACGUG
rnacentral:rRNA from 1 species